UGGGGAAUAUUGCACAAUGGGCGCAAGCCUGAUGCAGCCAUGCCGCGUGUAUGAAGAAGGCCUUCGGGUUGUAAAGUACUUUCAGCGGGGAGGAAGGGAGUAAAGUUAAUACCUUUGCUCAUUGACGUUACCCGCAGAAGAAGCACCGGCUAACUCCGUGCCAGCAGCCGCGGUAAUACGGAGGGUGCAAGCGUUAAUCGGAAUUACUGGGCGUAAAGCGCCCGCAGGCGGUUUGUUAAGUCAGAUGUGAAAUCCCCGGGCUCAACCUGGGAACUGCAUCUGAUACUGGCAAGCUUGAGUCUCGUAGAGGGGGGUAGAAUUCCAGGUGUAGCGGUGAAAUGCGUAGAGAUCUGGAGGAAUACCGGUGGCGAAGGCGGCCCCCUGGAAGAAGACUGACGCUCAGGUGCGAAAGCGUGGGGAGCAAACAGG
rnacentral:rRNA from 1 species